AGACCACCAGCUAAGGUCCCAAAAUAUAUGUUAAGUGGAAAAGGAUGUGGCGUUGCCCAGACAACUAGGAUGUUGGCUUAGAAGCAGCCAUCAUUUAAAGAGUGCGUAAUAGCUCACUAGUCGAGUGACACUGCGCCGAAAAUGUACCGGGGCUAAACAUAUUACCGAAGCUGUGGAUUGUCCUUUGGACAAUGGUAGGAGAGCGUUCUAAGGGCGUUGAAGCAUGAUCGUAAGGACAUGUGGAGCGCUUAGAAGUGAGAAUGCCGGUGUGAGUAGCGAAAGACGGGUGAGAAUCCCGUCCACCGAUUGACUAAGGUUUCCAGAGGAAGGCUCGUCCGCUCUGGGUUAGUCGGGUCCUAAGCUGAGGCCGACAGGCGUAGGCGAUGGAUAACAGGUUGAUAUUCCUGUACCACCUAUAAUCGUUUUAAUCGAUGGGGGGACGCAGUAGGAUAGGCGAAGCGUGCGAUUGGAUUGCACGUCUAAGCAGUAAGGCUGAGUAUUAGGCAAAUCCGGUACUCGUUAAGGCUGAGCUGUGAUGGGGAGAAGACAUUGUGUCUUCGAGUCGUUGAUUUCACACUGCCGAGAAAAGCCUCUAGAUAGAAAAUAGGUGCCCGUACCGCAAACCGACACAGGUAGUCAAGAUGAGAAUUCUAAGGUGAGCGAGCGAACUCUCGUUAAGGAACUCGGCAAAAUGACCCCGUAACUUCGGGAGAAGGGGUGCUCUUUAGGGUUAACGCCCAGAAGAGCCGCAGUGAAUAGGCCCAAGCGACUGUUUAUCAAAAACACAGGUCUCUGCUAAACCGUAAGGUGAUGUAUAGGGGCUGACGCCUGCCCGGUGCUGGAAGGUUAAGAGGAGUGGUUAGCUUCUGCGAAGCUACGAAUCGAAGCCCCAGUAAACGGCGGCCGUAACUAUAACGGUCCUAAGGUAGCGAAAUUCCUUGUCGGGUAAGUUCCGACCCGCACGAAAGGCGUAACGAUUUGGGCACUGUCUCAACGAGAGACUCGGUGAAAUCAUAGUACCUGUGAAGAUGCAGGUUACCCGCGACAGGACGGAAAGACCCCGUGGAGCUUUACUGUAGCCUGAUAUUGAAAUUCGGCACAGCUUGUACAGGAUAGGUAGGAGCCUUUGAAACGUGAGCGCUAGCUUACGUGGAGGCGCUGGUGGGAUACUACCCUAGCUGUGUUGGCUUUCUAACCCGCACCACUUAUC
rnacentral:rRNA from 1 species